rnacentral:rRNA from 1 species
GACGAACGCUGGCGGCGUGCUUAACACAUGCAAGUCGAACGGAAAGGCCCUGCUUUUGUGGGGUGCUCGAGUGGCGAACGGGUGAGUAACACGUGAGUAACCUGCCCUUGACUUUGGGAUAACUUCAGGAAACUGGGGCUAAUACCGGAUAGGAGCUCCUGCUGCAUGGUGGGGGUUGGAAAGUUUCGGCGGUUGGGGAUGGACUCGCGGCUUAUCAGCUUGUUGGUGGGGUAGUGGCUUACCAAGGCUUUGACGGGUAGCCGGCCUGAGAGGGUGACCGGCCACAUUGGGACUGAGAUACGGACCAGACUCCUACGGGAGGCAGCAGUGGGGAAUAUUGCACAAUGGGCGGAAGCCUGAUGCAGCAACGCCGCGUGCUGGAUGACGGCCUUCGGGUUGUAAACCGCUUUCGCCUGUGACGAAGCGUGAGUGACGGUAAUGGGUAAAGAAGCACCGGCUAACUACGUG